rnacentral:misc_RNA from 1 species
AAGUCGUAACAAGGUUUCCGUAGGUGAACCUGCGGAAGGAUCAUUACAAAUCAUUAGAAAGGUUUUUGAAAUUGGAUGGGAAAAGAGAGAAAGUAUAGAAAUAUUUUUCUCACUUUUCUCUUUUUUCUCCUCUUUCAUUAACCCACAUAUGUGCUCAGGAUCUAUUAUUUUAAUAUAUUAAAAUAAUAGAUCCUGUAGACAUUUACGCUUGUUAGUGUUUGACCGAGUUUUUUAAGUGAAAAAAAAUUUAGACAACUUUUAACAAUGGAUCUCUUGGCUCUU